rnacentral:lncRNA from 1 species
CAAUCUUACACUUCUGGGUCCAUAGCAACUAAUGUAAGUUGUAUGAGACACGAAAUAAAAUAUUCCUCCAAUAACAAAGGCAUAAAAGGCCGAUCUUUCCAAAUCAUUACGAGUACAAUCAAAAUUUUAAGAAUUAAAAUGUGAUACACAUCCGAAUAUUCAAUUUAAGAACCAGGAACUCGAAAUAGCAGUUCUAUAAACUUUCAAAAAAUAUGCAGAAGAGAGAUACUAAAAACAAAUUACAAAAUCUGUCUACUAAAAGGUCAUUGAAACUUGUCAUAAAAAUUAAAGCAUUUUGUUCAUACUAGUAAUGUAAUUUAAUCUCAUAAGAGCUUGAAAAGCUAUAAUUUCGCAAAAAAAAUUUCAACUCGUGCCGCACCUGCAUAUCUCUAAACUCACAUCACCCCGCACCUGCCCCGCUCCUGCCCCGCUCCAUUGCCAUUCCUACACAUAGCGUGAUGUAUUCAUAACCUUUUCUUUACACUUUGCUAUAAGGCUUUUCUUUUGGGGUGGUGGUUGGGUUGGGG